rnacentral:rRNA from 1 species
CCUACGGGGGGCAGCAGUGGGGAAUAUUGGACAAUGGGGGGAACCCUGAUCCAGCCAUGCCGCGUGUGUGAAGAAGGCCCUCGGGUUGUAAAGCACUUUCAGUGAGGAAGAACGCCUGGUGGUUAAUACCCAUCAGGAAAGACAUCACUCACAGAAGAAGCACCGGCUAACUCCGUGCCAGCAGCCGCGGUAAUACGGAGGGUGCGAGCGUUAAUCGGAAUUACUGGGCGUAAAGCGCGCGUAGGUGGCUUGAUAAGCCGGUUGUGAAAGCCCUGGGCUCAACCUGGGAACGGCAUCCGGAACUGUCAAGCUAGAGUGCAGGAGAGGAAGGUAGAAUUCCCGGUGUAGCGGUGAAAUGCGUAGAGAUCGGGAGGAAUACCAGUGGCGAAGGCGGCCUUCUGGACUGACACUGACACUGAGGUGCGAAAGCGUGGGUAGCAAACAGGAUUAGAUACCCCAGUAGUC